rnacentral:rRNA from 1 species
AUACGAAGGGGGCUAGCGUUGUUCGGAAUCACUGGGCGUAAAGCGCGCGUAGGUGGAUCAAUUAGUUGAGGGUGAAAUCCCGGGGCUCAACCUCGGAACUGCCUUCAAUACUGUUGAUCUUGAGACCGAGAGAGGUGAGUGGAAUUCCUAGUGUAGAGGUGAAAUUCGUAGAUAUUAGGAAGAGCACCAGUGGCGAAGGCGGCUCACUGGCUCGGUACUGACGCUGAGGUGCGAAAGCGUGGGGAGCAAACAGGAUUAGAAACCCUAGUAGUCC